AAGGUUUCCGUAGGUGAACCUGCGGAAGGGAUCAUUGAAUCUAUCAAAAUCCACAACCACGCGAACCAUUGACUGUUGGCCUGUGCUGCCGUAACAAGCAGCAUGCGGCCUCUCGUCCCCUCACAGGGAUGCGGAGGUCGGGCCUUUGGGCAACCAGAGGUCGGUCUUUACUAACCAACCAACACCAAACCAUAACUUCUAAAGCGAGUCGAUUGUCUGGCUUAGAGCCAGCGAUCAUCUAACCAAGACAACUCUCAACAACGGAUAUCUUGGCUCUCGCAACGAUGAAGAACGCAGCGAAAUGCGAUACGUAGUGUGAAUUGCAGAAAUACGUGAACCAUCGAAUCUUUGAACGCAUAUUGCGCUCGAGUCUUCGGACAAGAGCAUGUCUGCCUCAGCGUCGCUUUAAACCCUCACCCUCUCUCCCCUCAGGGAGUAAGAGCACGGUGGAACUGGCUUUCCCAUCUGCAUUCAGUUGCUGGAUGGGUCGGCUGAAGAGCAGAGGUUGAUGCACGGACCCGCUAUGGGCCUCAGCUGGGUAGGCAACUUGCUUGCUAAUGCUUUAGCUGUUGGCUUGGGACUGUGCUGUCGGCCCAAACCAGGAAUCGCUCCUUCGGGACGAUUACUUUCUGCUUUCGACCUGAGCUCAGGCAAGAACACCCGCUGAACUUAAGCAUAUC
rnacentral:rRNA from 1 species